AUUGAACGCUGGCGGUAGGCCUAACACAUGCAAGUCGAACGGCAGCACAGUAAGAGCUUGCGCUUACGGGUGGCGAGUGGCGGACGGUUGCGGAAUACAUCGGAAUCUACUUUUUCGUGGGGGAUAACGUAGGGAAACUUACGCUAAUACCGCAUACGACCUACGGGUGAAAUCAUGGGAUCUUCGGACCUUGCGCGAUUGAAUGAGCCUAUGUCGGAUUAGCUAGUUGGCGGGGUAAAGGCCCACCAAGGCGACGAUCCGUAGCUGGUCUGAGAGGAUGAUCAGCCACACUGGAACUGAGACACGGUCCAGACUCCUACGGGAGGCAGCAGUGGGGAAUAUUGGACAAUGGGCGAAAGCCUGAUCCAGCCAUACCGCGUGGGUGAAGAAGGUCUUCGGGUUGUAAAGCACUUUUGUUGGGAAAGAAAAGCAGUAGGUUAAUACCCCGCUGUUCUGACGGUACCAACAGAAUAAGCACCGGCUAACUUCGUG
rnacentral:rRNA from 1 species